AAUCUGUUUUCUAUGCAAUACGUUUAUAUCAAUACACAUCUGUUAAAGUGAAAACAAUGGUCCACAAUGAUUUGUCAAGUGUUUAUAUAUUUGUUUGAAUGUGUGACAUUGACAACAGAAGAUUUAAACACUAUUCGAUAAGAGUAGUUAUCGCAGAGUGAUGAAAAGAUUAAUAAUAUUACUAUUACUAAACGAUUAUUUCUCUGUAUCACUUUUUAAUUUCAUAAAGAUGCAGAGUUCGAAGUCUUCCAUAUAUUAAUGAUUGAAAGCCAGUUACAUUAUUGCCUCCCGUAAUGUGUUGUCUGACUUCAAUCUCUAUACAUUUUAUGAAGUCACUCACAAAGCAAUUGUGUCAACAAAAUUUAAAAGAAUAAAAUUCUAAUCAAUUCUUCAAUCGAUGUAAAACAAAACUAAAAACUAGAAAUAUUGAUUCAAAAACUUUGCUAAAAUGGCUUAUUCAAUCAAUCGAAAACCUUUGUUAGCUAAUUCAACUAGUGAUAGUGAAUUUGAUGAUGAAUUUGAAACAGAAGUCGAUGAUGCCAGUGUUUCUGUGCCUGAUCAAAAGCCAUUUUUUAAACCUUUACCGAGAGACAGGUACAAUCUUGCAUAUAUCGUAUUUUAUUUACUUGGAAUAAACACUUUGAUACCAUGGAGUUUUUUCAUCACUGCCGAUGAUUAUUGGAUGUACAAAUUUCGAGAAAUCCAUCCUAAUAAUACAGGAACUAACAAUUAUACGCACACUGAAAUUUUAGAAAAGAGAACAGAUUUACAAGCGAGUUUUACAUCGUAUUUAAAUGUAGCUAGUGCAAUUCCAAACACAUUUUUUCUAAUACUCAAUACCUUCUUAAGUAAAAGAAUAUCUCAAAAAGUGAGAAUGAUUGGCUCGCAACUGUUGAUUCUGAUUAUGUUUAUCAUUACUACCGCAUUUGUAAAGAUAAACACAGAUGAGUGCCAGCAUGUUUUCUUGAUUUUAACUCUCACAUCAGUUGCAUUCGUGAAUGCAUUAAGUGCAAUUUUUGGUGGAAGUUUAAUGGGAAUUGUUGGACGAUUUUCCUCCAAGUACAUCACUGCCAUGUCAGGAGGUCAAGCUUUAGGUGGAAUAUUCACUGCCCUAACUGAAAUUGUUGCACUUUGGAUUGGUGCAAGUCCUGUCAUUUCUGGAUUAAUUUUUUUUAUUAUCGGUGAUGUGGUACUUUUCUUUUCGCUAAUUGCGUACAUUUUUCUGGAAAAAGAGGAAUUUUUUAAGCAUCAUAUGGUUGAAAAAUCAUAUCAAGAACCAAAUUUUUCUGUUAAUGCAGAAGUUAGUUUUGUUGAUAGACAUAGAGUAUCAUACACAAGAAUAUUAAAACGUGUUUGGCCUUAUGGAUUGUCGAUGUUUCUUGUAUUUUUUGUCUCUAUAGCCGUUUAUCCGGCAAUUACAGUAUUAGUAGAAAGCCAAGAUAAAGGCAAAGGAUAUGCAUGGAAUGAUAUUUACUUUGUACCAGUUGUGACUUAUCUCACAUUCAGCUGUGGAGAUUAUAUUGGAAGACUUCUGUCUGGUAUUUUUUUGUGGCCAAAAAAAAAGCCAUAUCUUGUAGUGAUUUUGAGUCUGUUGAGAGGAUUAUUCAUUCCUGCUUUUCUGUUUUGCAAUGCUCAACCACGCCAUCAUUUACAAGUUUAUAUUGAAAGUGAUGUUUAUUACAUAUUGUUGACUGUAUUAUUUGCUAUUGGGAAUGGAUAUUUAUGUAAUAUAUGUUUUAUAUUAGCUCCAACUAUUGUUGAGCCACAAGAUAAAGAAAUUGCUUCGAUAAUGAUGGGUGCUUUUCUUGGAUUAGGACUUACGGCUGGAUCGGCAUUAAGUCUCAUUUUAGUAAAAGUCUUAUAAUUUGAAUAUAUUUUUCUUUUUUCUCAAAGAAAAAAGAAAAAUUUAGCUAAAUGUGCAAAAAAAUAAUUGUUUGAUCUGUAAUUCGACUGAGACAUUCCAACAACCAAUGAAUUUAUCAUAUCAAUUAAAUCAAUCAGUAUAAUAUUAAUUUAAUAAGAAGAUAAUUACUGGAAUUUUUGAAAAUUAAUUGCUUUAAAAUAAAAAUUAUUUUUUAUAUAUAAUUUUUUUGUAUCAAAGCACACAUGUAAAAAGCUUUGAUAAAUAAUUGAAGAAAGAAUAAUUGUUUAAAUACACAUCUAGUCUGGAUCAACAUAUGAGUAUACAUGACAAAAAAUGAAAUACGAAUGUUAAUAGGGUGUUCUGAAAACAAAUUACGCAUAAUUUAAAAAUUAUAUUGAAAAUUUGUAUAAUUUUUAUUUAAUAAUAAUUCUUAGGAAUUUAAUAUAAAGUUAACUUAUAAUUUA
rnacentral:misc_RNA from 1 species